AUGGACUUCAACACAGCAUCGUACUCCAGAAAUCUGGAAGUAAUGAAGACCAGAGAGUCUCUGGCAGAGAGUGAACCUGGGAGACCACUGCUGUGCAGUUUGACACCCACUGAAGAAGCAAAGCAGCAGCAAAUGACCAGCAAUGACCUUAUUAAGCUGCAUUCUGACAAAAGGAAAUAAAUUGCUCCUACAAAAGAGAGAAAAGAGAAGGAAGGAAGGAGGAGAAAAGAGGCAGAGGGAAGGAGGGUACGUGCUGAGCUGAGCUUACUGAGGAUGGUUCCUAGUUGAGUUAGCAUCAGGUCUUUAGCGUAUGAUGUGUAUGAUGCUACAGCCCAUUAAAGACAGAGACAAACUUUCGGAAAACAAGGGCAUGAGGAGAAAGGAGAAGAAGUUAGUUAUCUUUAGCAAAAUUUAACUUCCGAUAAAGCCCACCUGCUCUUCAAAAUGACAAUUAGGGUGGACCCAGCAAGAAACUGCACUAAACAUGUUUCUCCCUCCAGGCACCUGAGCUGCAGGAGAAGUCUCAGCUCACUUACUGCCCAGAUUUCUCUAUUUUUCUUAGAGACAAACACACUCACAAACACAUUUUAUGAUCUGAUACUUUUCAUUUAAGACAUGCAUUAAUGUCAAAGUGGAAUCACUUAUACCUACUCUGCCUUUGACUUGCACCUAUGAAUCAGUCUUGUGCCUAUGAUCUCAACACAAACAGUUUUGAAAUCACAAGAGAUAUGCCCUCUGCACAAUCCUCUUUAGUUCCAUGUGAUGAAGCACUCAUUGAGCCCCUGUGUUACAAGUUCCUUUACCACACAUUUAGUAGAUACUGAAAUGAACAGUAAAAUCGUCCUGGCCUUUGGAAAAUUCACCAUUCCUGGAAGUAACCAAAAAAAAAAAAAUUAGCAGAUGAUUCAAUGCAGCAUUUUGAUAGAUGUGAUAUGGAUGACAUCUCUACAAAUGAUAGCGGUGUGCUCAAGUUGCUGUGAGAGGACAGGGGACAAAGAGCACAGAGAAAAGCCUGGCGGAGUUGCCCCAAAGCUGUCUCAACUGAUAGGCAAGAGCUGAUGCGGUGAAAAGAGAGAGGCAGAGUAGCAAUUUCCACAAAAAAAAGCAUAAGAUACAGAUUCUAUUCUACUUCUUGGCCAAGUACAUUAUGGAAGGAGACAGAAGAGUAAGCCGAAUUUAGAGAACAAAUGCUUCUAAUUACAUGCCAUGUAACUCAAUCAAUGGGAAGCCUUGGUGUGGUAGAGGCCCAGGACAGAGAAGUUAAGGUCUACAGAUAGCUAGAAAUCAUUAAACAUUUCUUCAGCCCUGUACUUCUCACACCAACUCUCCAUAUUCUCCCCGGACACUGCUCCUGCCCUAGUCUCCUUGCCACUACCUCAAGUCUCUGGGGACACACUGAUCCCCUGUCUGCUUUGACCGGGAUGUGAAAAAAUCCAAUAUUCUCUUAAUUCAAGUAUGAUAACCACCAAAAGAAACUACAAAUAAAACAAACCCAAGUUUUAAAAAACUAAAAAUUACCAAUGUUGGGAUUAGAAAACCAACUCAUCCAGUUGUCUAUUACUGCAAAACAAACUACCGUCAAAAUUAAUUGAUGAAAAUAACCAUUUCAUUGUACUCACAAUUUGGUGAGUCAGGAAUUCUGAAUGAGGUUGGCUGAGCAGUUGGUCUCUGAGCCACAUUAGUUGGAAUGGCUAGGUCUGGAGAAGCCAUUUUCAAAAUGUCCUCUUUACCAUAUACUGGGAGCUUCAAAAAUUCCAAAUUCCAUGAGGUUUUCUCUCUUUCUCUUUCUCUCCUUCUCUUUCUCCGCCCCCCAACCCACUACUUCUUCAUAUAGGAUGUUAUUCUCUAGGGUUUAAUCGUGUGGCUCAGGUUUCUCACAGCAUGGUAAUCUCAAGGUAAUUUCCCUUCUUGCACAGUAGCUGGCUUUCAAGAGAGCAGGCAAGAGCUACUAGUCCUCUUUCUAAACCUCUGCAGCUUGAAUAACAUUACUUUUGCCACAUGCUAUUAGUCUAAACAGUCACAAGCCAUCCCACAUUCAAGUGGAAGAUAAACAGAUCCUUCCUCUCAAUGGAAGAAGUGUCAUCAUUUAAGGCCUUCUUUAAUCUGCCACAGUAACUCAAUAGAGAUUUGGCCAAAAUGUAACUUCAAUAAACUAAAGUGUAUCAGAGCCGGCAUCCUCUGACUUCUCAUUUCUCAUAGUGAUGAAACAAAAAACAAGCUUACAUCGUAAGUUCCUUCUCACAACUGUAUAAUAUGCUUACAACACUUUGUAUAGCGGCCCUAUAGAAGGAACAGGGAAACAGGGUGCUAACUGAAAAGAGAUCCACCCACAACAAUCCCUGUUUAUCCCCUUUGGGCUUGUGUAGUAAUAGAUGGAAUACAGAUGAGA
ensembl:lncRNA